CGUGAAUGUAAGAAUUGACGCCUUCCAGCACUACCCCGUGUAUCAUCUGUGCUCUGCAUCCGUAAGAUCCUGCUGGUUUCCAGAAUAGAUUUACUUAUUUUAGUUUAGUUUUUAUUAGUUCCAGUGUUAGUUUUAGUCUUUUUUUUAAUCCUUCAUGUAUUCCUGUGGCACAAAAUUGAAUACAAAUGCAA